UUUAAAGAGAGUUUGAUCCUGGCUCAGGACGAACGCUGGCGGCGUGCCUAAUACAUGCAAGUCGAACGAACGGAGGAAGAGCUUGCUCUUCCAAUGUUAGUGGCGGACGGGUGAGUAACACGUGGGCAACCUGCCUGUAAGUUGGGGAUAACUCCGGGAAACCGGGGCUAAUACCGAAUGA
rnacentral:rRNA from 1 species